AUAUUUAUUUUUUUAUAGACAUUUUAUACCUUGCCAGCGAAUUGGAUCACAAGAGGUUGCUCAUGAGUUUUUGCUUACAUGUGUAGUAGGAGACUAGGAGCUCAAAAUGUCACGAAAAGCUAUCAGUAUUGUUCAUGGUGGUGGACAAAACUCUGGAUGCUAUAUUUGGAGAUGUUGAUAACAUUUCCCCAAGACUAGAUAUAUUAUCAACUCUUUAUUUCCCUUGGCACUACUUAAUGUGACACCAGUAUAUUUCCAGAAUGACAUUCCUGUCAAAUUAUUUUUAGAGAUGAAAAUAGGCUACAAAGUUCUUUGUAAACAUUAAUGCAAAACUCAAUAGAGUAACCUGAAAUCAAAUGUGUGGCUAAACAAGCAUUUAUUCAUGUUUGAACUGUUUUUUUUACAUUUUUGUUUGAGUUAUGAACAUUAUAAAUUGAAGUACAAUU